rnacentral:rRNA from 1 species
UACAGAGGGUGCGAGCGUUGUUCGGAAUUACUGGGCGUAAAGCGCGUGUAGGCGGCGGCAUAAGUCGAAUGUGAAAGCCCUUGGCUUAACCAAGGAAGUGCAUUUGAUACUGUGUCGCUUGAGUACCGGAGGGGAUGGCGGAAUUCCUGGUGUAGAGGUGAAAUUCGUAGAUAUCAGGAGGAACACCUGUGGCGAAGGCGGCCAUCUGGACGGUGACUGACGCUGAGACGCGAAAGCGUGGGUAGCAAACAGG